rnacentral:rRNA from 1 species
UAAGACGUAGGGGGCGAGCGUUGUCCGGAUUUAUUGGGCGUAAAGAGUUCGUAGGCGGCUCAACAAGUUGGGUGUGAAACCUCCAGGCUUAACCUGGAGACGCCACUCAAGACUGUUGUGGCUAGAGACCGGUAGGGGAGCAGGGAAUAUCCGGUGUAGCGGUGAAAUGCUUAGAUAUCGGGUGGAACACCAGUGGCGAAGGCGCUGCUCUGGGCCGGAACUGACGCUGAGGAACGAAAGCGUGGGUAGCAAACAGGAUUAGAUACCCUGGUAGUCCACGCCGUAAACGUUGGGCACUAGGUGUGGGACCCUAUCGACGGGAUCCGUGCCGUAGCUAACGCAUUAAGUGCCCCGCCUGGGGAGUACGGCCGCAAGGCUA